rnacentral:tRNA from 1 species
GUUUUUAUGGUGUAAACAAAGCACGUUAGGUUUUCAUCCUAAAAGUGUGAAUCUUUUUCACUAGAAAUA